GAGAGUUGGGUUCAGAACGUCGUGAGACAGUUCGGUCCCUAUCUGUUGUGGGCGGAGGAGAGUUGAGAGGGGCUUUCACUAGUACGAGAGGACUGUGAAGGACGGACCUCUAGUGUGCCGGUUGUCGUGCCAACGGCAGCGCCGGGUAGCUAUGUCCGGUAGCGAUAAUCGCUGAAAGCAUCUAAGCGAGAAGCGUGCCUCAAGAUAAGCUCUCCCGUAGCAGUAUGCUACCUAAAGACCACUCGUAGACCACGAGUUUGAUAGGCUGGGUGUGGAAGGCGUGUGAGCGCUGUAGCUAACCAGUACUAAUCGGUCGUGCGGUUUAACAUC
rnacentral:rRNA from 1 species